rnacentral:lncRNA from 1 species
CUUAGAAUGAUGCCUGGCACAGCGUAAGCACAGGAGUGCAAGAGAGAUCAGAGGGGCAGAGGGGGCAGAAGGCCCUCUGGACUCCUCAGCACCCCACUCGUAACACGAUCCCCCACGUGAGGCUGUGGCCAGAGACAGAAGGAGGAGCUGCAAACCCCGUGAGCCUGAGAUGAGUCCAGGUCUGGUCCCUGGUGAUUCAUUCUUACUGUACCUGGACUUCUCCUGGGAAUGAAUGAAGGUCACAGCAGUCCAGGUGAGAGAUGACAAGGCCUGAAUGAUGGAGCCGCAAGGAGGGCACGCCAGAGGAAAGAGAUGAUGUCACUGCCUCAAAAUAGUGUGUCGGCGUCAGAUCCCAAAAAGGGAAAAUUCUAAAAAACCUUGGUCACCUGAUCCUCCUACACUGUAUAGGGCAAAAAAAAUUUUAGAGACAGAAGAAAAAUAUGAUUGGGCCAGUUGCAUAUUUACAACUACCAUGCCACACAUGCUCAAUACAGGAGGACUUUCGCAGCAAAGUAGAGGUACAAGUGCUCACACAUUCCUCGGUUCAUUGAA